CUGUAUCACAUCUCCCCUGGACCCACAUAGCAGUGGACUUCAUCACAGACCUGCCUGCUUCGCAAGGGUACAAUGUCAUAAUGAACGUAUCAGCUCUGAAGUACAGCAUUCUUGUAAUGAGGAGGUUGGUGAAGAGCUUCUCUCAGCAAAUUCUGUCAAUGAAGAAAAGACAGUAUUAUGAUGCCAUCACCUGUAGUGGUCUGAUAU